GGGCGUUAAGUUGCAGGGUAUAGACCCGAAACCCGGUGAUCUAGCCAUGGGCAGGUUGAAGGUUGGGUAACACUAACUGGAGGACCGAACCGACUAAUGUUGAAAAAUUAGCGGAUGACCUGUGGCUGGGGGUGAAAGGCCAAUCAAACCGGGAGAUAGCUGGUUCUCCCCGAAAGCUAUUUAGGUAGCGCCUCGUGAAUUCAUCUCCGGGGGUAGAGCACUGUUUCGGCUAGGGGGCCAUCCCGGCUUACCAACCCGAUGCAAACUGCGAAUACCGGAGAAUGUUAUCACGGGAGACACACGGCGGGUGCUAACGUCCGUCGUGAAGAGGGAAACAACCCAGACCGCCAGCUAAGGUCCCAAAGUCAUGGUUAAGUGGGAAACGAUGUGGGAAGGCCCAGACAGCCAGGAUGUUGGCUUAGAAGCAGCCAUCAUUUAAAGAAAGCGUAAUAGCUCACUGGUCGAGUCGGCCUGCGCGGAAGAUGUAACGGGGCUAAACCAUGCACCGAAGCUGCGGCAGCGAACGUAUCACCCAAGACAACUUUACGGAGUUGACGAUUGACGGAGCGAAGCGACGUCAAAGCGUUCAUUAAAGUCGAGUUGGCUUAGGGAUACGUUCGUUGGGUAGGGGAGCGUUCUGUAAGCCUGUGAAGGUGUGUCGUGAGGCAUGCUGGAGGUAUCAGAAGUGCGAAUGCUGACAUAAGUAACGAUAAAGCGGGUGAAAAGCCCGCUCGCCGGAAGACCAAGGGUUCCUGUCCAACGUUAAUCGGGGCAGGGUGAGUCGACCCCUAAGGCGAGGCCGAAAGGCGUAGUCGAUGGGAAACGGGUUAAUAUUCCCGUACUUGGUGUUACUGCGAAGGGGGGACGGAGAAGGCUAUGUUGGCCGGGCGACGGUUGUCCCGGUUUAAGCGUGUAGGUGUGUGUUCCAGGUAAAUCCGGUUCACUUUAACACUGAGGCGUGACGACGAGGCACUACGGUGCUGAAGCAACAAAUGCCCUGCUUCCAGGAAAA
rnacentral:rRNA from 1 species